GUGAGGGGAUGACUGGUGAGAGAGGGAAUGACUGGUGACAGAGUGAGAGAGGGGGUAACUAGUGACAGAGUGAGGAAGGGGGUGACUAGUGACAGAGUGAAGGAGGUGGUGACUGUCACUAGUCACCCCAUCCCUCCCUCUGUCACUAAUCACCACAUCCCUCACUCUGUCACUAGUCACCCCUUCCCUCCCUCACUCUGUCACUCGUCACACCCUCCCUCACUGUCACUAGUCACACCCUCCCUCAC